rnacentral:rRNA from 1 species
GAUGAACGCUGGCGGCGUGCUUAACACAUGCAAGUCGAACGGAAAACCCGUGAAACUGUGUUUCCCUUGGCGGGCGGGUGAGUAACGAGUACGAACGUGCCCUUGGCAGGGGUACAGGAGCUGGUAACGGCUGCUAGUAUCCCGUCGGCUAAGAGGCCAAGGGGGGAAUCCGCCCGAGGAGGGGCUCGCGUCUGAUUAACGAGGUGGUGGGGCAAUAGCUUGCCAAGGCGAUGGUCAGUGGCUGGUCCGAGGGGAUGCUCAGCCGCACUGGGACUGAGACACGGCCCCGACUCCUACGGGAGGCAGCAGUAGGGUGUUCUACGCAAUGAGCGAAAGCGUGACGGAGCAACGCGGCGGGGAGGUGGAAGGGGGUCGUAUCGUGCACUUCUUUGCGCGGAGAAGAAGCAAUGACGGUAUCGGAAGAAAACGCAUCGUCUAUCCCUG